AGCCUGCUUGUCAGCAACUCCUCCAUUGAAAAGAUUAACACUCCUAAGAGAUUCUUCCACUGCCUGCAAUAACAUAACAAAGAAUUAAAAUAAUUUUUUUUUUGCUUUGUAGCCUAGUUUAGUAAACAAAGGUAAUCUGGGGUUGUAUCAACAUGGCAAGAUUUUAGGCAGUCAAGCACAAGACAAUCUGAGAACUUGUAUAGACCACAGCAGAAAUUUUCUUUAACAGAUUAUAUACCCAAAAAAACUAAACCCAUACCAAGGAUAUGCACAAUCUGAUAACAUGUUAUAGUCACUUUCCUAAACAUAUUUCUCCAUAAACUCCAUGUGCAGGCAUUUCUGUACCACUACCUGCUCAAGUAAGCAGCUAGCUCAAAAUCCCAAAAGAAGCCCCACCCUGCACAUAAACAUUACUACUCACGUCACCACUAAGACAAUGCACCAGCACACAUUGAGAAAUAGAGGAAUAGAGAGUUUAUUAAGCCAUGAAACUAUAGAUAUGGAACGAAAANNNNN
rnacentral:lncRNA from 1 species